rnacentral:rRNA from 1 species
UACGUAGGGGGCAAGCGUUGUCCGGAUUUAUUGGGCGUAAAGAGCGUGUAGGCGGCUUUGCAAGUCCGUUGUGAAAACUCGAGCUCAACCUCGAGACGCCGGUGGAAACUGCAAAGCUAGAGUCCGGAAGAGGAGAGUGGAAUCCUGGUGUAGCGGUGAAUGCGCAGAUAUCAGGAGGAACACCGGUGGCGAAGGCGGGGUCUCUGGGACCG